rnacentral:rRNA from 1 species
GGACUGAGAGGUCGAUCCGCCACAUUGGGACUGAGACACUGCCCAGACCCCCACGGGGGGCUGCAGUAACGAAUCUUGCGCAAUGGACGAAAGUCUGACGCAGCGACGCCGUGUGUAGGACGAAGCCCUUCGGGGUGUAAACUACUGUCAGGGUGAAGAAAGGUGUGCUUCGGUACAUUUGAUCGAUCCCAAAGGAAGGCCCGGCUAACUUCGUGCCAGCAGCCGCGGUAAGACGAAGGGGCCAAGCGUUGUUCGGAAUUACUGGGCUUAAAGCGCGCGUAGGCGGGAAGUUAAGUGUUUUGUGAAAUCCCUCGGCUUAACCGGGGAAUUGCUUGACAUACUGGCUUUCUUGAGGCAAGUAGGGGUGCAUGGAACUCUAGGUGGAGCGGUGAAAUGCGUAGAUAUCUAGAGGAACGCCAGCGGUGAAAACGGCGCACUGGGCUUGUUCUGACGCUGAGGUGCGAAAGCGUGGGUAGCGAACGGGAUUAGAUACCCCGGUAGUCCACGCCGUAAACGAUGUCUACUAGGUCGCGGGAGUUCUGACGCUUUCGCGGCCGAAGCAAAAGUGCUAAGUAGACCGCCUGGGGAGUACGGUCGCAAGGCUAAAACUCAAAGGAAUUGACGGGGGCUCACACAAGCGGUGGAGCAUGUGGCUUAAUUCGAGGCAACGCGAAGAACCUUAUCCUGGGUUUGACAUGUUUGGAUGCCCGCUGUGAAAGCAGUUGGGUUGCCUUCGGGUGAAACAUACACAGGUGCUGCAUGGCUGUCGUCAGCUCGUGUCGUGAGAUGUUGGGUUAAGUCCCUUAACGAGCGAAACCCUUGUCGCUAGUUGCCAGCGGGUUAUGCCGGGAACUCUAGCGAGACUGCCGGUGUUAAACCGGAGGAAGGCGGGGAUGACGUCAAGUCCUCAUGGCCUUUAUGCCCAGGGCUGCACACGUGCUACAAUGGCGAGUACAAACCGACGCAAUACCGUGAGGUGGAGCAAAUCGGAAAAAGCUCGUCCCAGUUCGGAUUGCAGGCCGCAACUCGCCUGCAUGAAGUUGGAAUCGCUAGUAAUCGCAGAUCAGCUAUGCUGCGGUGAAUAUGUUCCUGAGCCUUGUACACACCGCCCGUCAAGUCACGGAAGCUGGGAGUACCUGAAGUCGGAUAGCUAACUCUUCGGAGAGGCGUCUGCCGACGGUAAGCUCGGUGACUGGGGCUAAGUCGUAACAAGGUA